rnacentral:lncRNA from 1 species
AUGCAAACGAAGGAGGAAUUUUUGAUAACGACAUCUGGGUUGUCUAUUUGCCAGACCAAAAUCGCUGUUAAAGAACCACAGCAGUUUCUGGUAACCAGGAGUAAUCAGAGUUUGGCUGUUUCAAAAGAUCCUUCUCAAGCACUGAAUCGGGAACCUAAGGAGAGUCGAGAAGAUUCCACUGAGGGAUUCAAGAUCAAAUCGGAAACCAUCACUGAUGCACAAACUAAGCUGGUAACGAGUGGGAGCAAGUUAGAGACCUCCAUUUCAUCAGGAACCCUUGAUGCAGAACCAAAGGGAACUGAACAUGUACAGUUCACGCAAAAGCUAAAAGCUGAGCAAGCUAAGCCUUCUCCUCCUACAAGAAAGUCCAAAUCUACCAAGACUUCAGACCCAAUCAAAACCGACACUCAAGAGCCAAUCACACUGGAACAGGCUGAGGUAAGGACUACAGAUCACCAGGCCCAAGCAAGUGUUACUGCACCAGUUCCUGUGAAGCCUGAACAAGAUCCGACAAAUGCUGAAAGUGAAAAGUCUUCUAUAAUUCCAUAUUCAACCCCAGCACUGUCAGAUACAGCUGUCAUGGAGAAAGCCAUGGUGGUACCAGCCAGGAAAAAGUCAAAAUCUUCUGGAUCCCCUAUUAUGCGUGCAACACCUGCACAGUCCAAGCAAACUUCUGAGAGUAAUCUGUCUGUUUCUGUGGUAGACCGAGGUUUACCUGUACCUACCAAGAAAGUGCAAAGCCCCAGAGUUGACACAACAACAAAACAACCAACAAAAACCACCAUUACAACAACUAAAGAAAUGACUAAAACUAAACAGGACCUUUCUAGGGUUGAAACAUCAAAGACCCAAGAUUCACCCCAAGUUGGGACAGCUAAGGUGGAUGUGUGUGUCUCACAUCUUGUGCCAAGCAGGAGAAGGUCUAGAGAGAUUCCAGAGUACUCUACAGCUUCAGAGCCAGCCUCAGAACUUGCUGUACCUGCUGAUGUUCCAACCAAACUUGCUGAAUCUGAGACCGCUGCUGAUGAUCAGACUAAGCUUGUACCAACGAGGAGAAAGUCAAAGACAUCAGUGACAUCUAUGAAACUUGAUGGAGAACCACAGCAGAAGAUUGCAAGUUCAAAACCUGGCACGCAAACAAGAACCCUUGAGCAAGCGAAGCCUUCACCCACUACAAGAAGGUCAAAAUCCACCAAGGCUUCAGAGCCAAUCAAAACGAACACUAUGAAUAAAGAAGCCAUCACUGUUCGUACUGAACGAGACCCUGCAAGUGCGUCAUUGAUUAAUCCAGAGUCAUUCAUCAGGCCAUCCAUAGCUACUGAUGUGGAAAAAACAACAUCGGAGAGAACCGGUACCUUGGGCAAUCAAACUGUUCCUACAACUUUAGAGACAACAUUACCUGUCACUGGACCUGCUGAAGCGAAGAUCAAACCAAUUCAGACUAAAAAAGAAAGUGCAAAGUCUCCUCUCACAGAAGAGUCAAUCACAGGACUGGCCGAGACCGUUGUUGUUUUGGAGGAACCCAUUGUGGUACCUGCCAGGAGAAAGUUCAAACCUGAUGGAUCUCCUAUGACACUGGCUGAUGUAAAACCUGCACAGUCAACAGAAGACUCUGAGUCUCCUCAGCCUUCUCCCAUUGGAAAAGAAAAGGCUGCUCUGUCUAAUUCACAAAGUACAACCGUCAACGAAAUUGUAGAGCCACACUCAUUAAAGAAGGUGACUUUAGUUGUUCUGGAUAUCCCUGCUUUCCAGACAGCGGACACAUUCCCACAGACAUCAAUCUCUGAGAGAGCAGACAGUGCUGGAUCGAUAGGGCUUGACAUCACACUGGGACAGGCAUCUAAAAAGUCAGAGCCAACUGUACUUCCUCAACUUUCUCAAAGUCAUGUAAAUGUGCCCCCGUCCCUACUACCUGAGAAACAACAUCCAGAUGUUCCAAAACCGCAGUCCACAGACCAGACUUCAGUUCUCCUGGCCCAAGCGAGUGUCACUGCACCUGUUCCUGUGAAGCCUGAACAAGUUCAGGCCAAUCCUGAAAGUGAAAAAUCUCCUAUAAUUCUAUAUUCAACCCCAGCACUGUCAGAACAAACUGUCAUGGAGAAAGUCAUGGUGGUACCAGCCAGGAAAAAGUCGAAAUCUUCUGGAUCUCCUAUUAUGCAUGCAACUCCUGCACAGUCCAAACAAGAUUCUGCUGUUUCUGUGGUAGACCGAGUUUUGCCUGUACCUACUAAAAAAGUGCAAAGCCCCAAAGUUGACACAACAGCAAAACAACCAACGAAAACCACCAUGACAACAACUAAAGCAAAGACAGAAAAAAACAAACAGGACCUUUCUAGUGUUGAAACCUCAAAGAACCAAGAUUCAAGCCAAGGAGGGACAGCUAAGGUGGACUUUUGUGACUCGCAUCUUGUGCCAAGGAACCGAAGGUCUAGAAAGACUCCAGAGGGCUCUACAGCUUCAGAGCCAGCCUCAGAUGUUGCUAUACCUGCUGAUGUUCCAACAAAGCUGGCUGAAUCUGAGAGCACUACUGAUGAUCAGACUAAGCUUGUACCAACAAGGAGAAAGUCAAAGACAUCCGUGACAUCUAUGAAACUUGAAGGAGAACUAAAGCAGAAGAUUACAAUUUCGAAACCUGGCAUGCAAACAAGAACCCUUGAGCAAGCUAAGCCUUCACCCACUACAAGAAGGUCAAAAUCGACCAAGACUUCAGAGCCAAUCAAAACUGACACUAUGAAUAAAGAAGUCAUCACUGUUCAGACUGAACAAGACCCUGGAAAUGUGUCAUUGAUUAAUCUAGAGUCAGUCUACAGGCCAUCCAUGGCUCCUGAUGUGGAAAAAACAACAUUGGAGCGAACCGGUACCUUGGGCAAUCAAACUGUUUCUACAACUUUAGAGACAACAUCUCCUGUCACUGGACCUGCUGAAGCGAAGAUCAAACCAAUUCAGACUAAAACAGAAAGUGCAAAGUCUCCUAUCACAGCAGAGUCAAUCACAGGACUGGCAGCGACUGCUGUUGUUUUGGAGGAACCCGUCGUUGUACCUCCCAUGAGAAAGUUAAAGUGUGAAGGAUCUCACAUGACAAAAGCUGAUGUUAAACCUGCACAGUCAACAGAAGACUCUGAGUCUCCUCAGCCUUCUCCCAUUGGAGAAGAACAGGCUGCUCUGUCCAAUUCACAAAGUGCAACUGUCCAUGAAAUUGCAGAGCCACACUCAGAAAAGAAGGUGGCUUUAGUUGUUCUGGAUAUUCCUGCUUUCCAGACAGCGGACACCUGCCAACAGACAUCCAUCUCAGAGAGAGCAGACAGUGCUGGAUCGAUAGGGCUUGACAUCACACUGGGACACGCAUCUAAAAAGUUAGAGCCAACUGUACUUCCUCAACCUUCUCAAAGUCAUGUAAAUGUGCCCCAGUCCAUACUACUUGAGAAACAACAUCCAGAUGUUCCUGAACCUCAGUCCCCAGACCAGACUUCAGCUCUACGGGCAGAGGCAAGUGUUACUGCACCUGUUCCUGUGAAGCCUGAACAAGUUCAGGCAAAUCCUGAAAGUGAAAAAUCUCCUAUAAUUCCAUAUUCAACCCCAGCACUGCUAGAAUCGGCUGUCGUGGAGAAGGCCAUGGUGGUUCCAGCCAGGAAAAAGUCAAAAUCUGCUGAAUCUCCUAUUAUGCGUUCAAAACCGGCACAGUCCAAGCAAGACUCUGAGGCUCCUCUGUCCUCUGUUUCUGUGGUAGACCGAGCUUUGCCUGUACCUACUAAAAAAGUGCAAAGCCCCAGAGUUGACACAAAAACAGCAAAAGAACCAACAAAAACCACCAUUACAACAACUAAACUAAAGACAGAAAAAACUAAACAGGACCUUUCUAGUGUUGAAAAAUCAAAGGACCAAGAUUCAACCCCAGUUGGGACAGCUAAGGUGGAAUUUUGUGAAUCGCAUCUUGUGCCAAGGAACAGAAGGUCUCGAAAGAAUCCAGAAGACUCUACAGCUUCAGAGCCAGCCUCGAAUGUUGCUGCACCUGCUGAUGUUCCAACAAAACUGGCUGAAUCUGAGACCACUGCUGAUGAGCAGACUAAAUUUGUACCAACAAGGAGAAAAUCAAAGACAUCAGUGACAUCUAUGAAACUUGAUGGAGAACCACAGCAGAAGAUUGCACGUUCAAAGCCUGCCAUGGAAACAAGAACCCUUGAGCAAGCUAAGCCUUCACCUACAACAAGAAGGUCAAAAUUGACCAAGACUUCAGAGCCUAUCAAAACCGAAACUAUGAAUGAGGAAGUUAUCACUGCUCGUACUGAACAAGAUCUUGCAAGUCUUACAUCAUUCAAUCCAGAGUUGGUCAUCAGGCCAUCCAUAGCUACUGUUGUGGAAGAAACAUUAUUGAAACGAACUGAUAACAAGGACAAUCAAAAGGAUAUUACAACUUCAGAGCCAACAUCACUUGUAACUGGACCUGCUGAAGUAAAUAUCGAAUCGUUUCCAACAAAAGACGAAAGUGUCAGGUCUUCUUUCACUGCAGAGUCAAUCACAGGAAUGGCAGAAACUGGUGCUGUUGUGGAGGAAAGCAUUGUGGUACCACCCAGGAGAAAGUUAAAUCCUGAUGGACCUCCUAUGACACAAGCUGAUGUUAAACCAGCACAGUCAACAGGAGAUUCCGAGUCUCCUCAGCCUUCUCCCCAUAGUGAAGAACAGGCUGCUCUGUGUAGUUCACAAAGUUCAACAGUCCAUGAAAUUAUAGAGCCACACUCAGUUAAGAAGGUGGCUGUAGUUGUUCUGGAUAUUCCUGUUUUCCAGACAGUGGACACAUGCCCACAGACAUCAAGUUCUGAGAAAGCAGACAGUGCUGGAUCGUUAGGGGUUGACAUUAAACUUGGACAGGCAUCUAUACAGCCACCUGUGCUUCCCGAACUUUCUCAAAGUCAAAUAGAUGUGCCCAAGUCCCUACCAUCUGAGGUACAAUGGUCAGAUGUUUCCAGAGACCCGACUGCAGACCUUCAGGCCCAAGAUUGUUUUACUGGACCUGUUGCUGUCAAGACUGAACAAGUUCUGACCACAUCUGAAAGUGAAAAGUCUCCCAUCACUAAGGCCAAACAAGUUCCGACAAAACAUGAGAGUGAAGGGUCUCCCAUCACUCCAGAUUCAUUAUCUGGACUUGCAGAGAUGGGUAAUGUAGUGGAAGCCAUGGUAAUACCAGCCAGGACUAAAUCAAAACCUGCUGGUUCUCCUGUGAUGCAUGCAAAUGCAAGCCCUGCACAGUCCAAACACGACUUUGAGGGAUCUCACCCUUCUGUCACUGCUGUAGAACAAGCCUUGCCUUUACCUUUGCAGCAAAGGCAAAGCCCCAAAGUGUGCAGAACAACAGCAAAACAACCAGCAGAAACCACUAUUAAAACAUCUGAAGGAAAGACUGAAAAAACAAAACAGGACACCUCUAUUGUGGUGCCAUCAACGAACAAAGAUUCAACAACAGUUUUAACAGCUAAGGUGGACGUGGAUGACCUGCCAUGCGUGUCAAGCAGGAGAAGGUCUCAAGAGAUCCCAGGAGACUCUACAGUCUCAGGGCCAGCCUCAGAUGUUGCUGUUUCUGCUGAUUUUCCAACCAAACUCUGUGAAUCCGAGACCACUGCUGUAGAGCAGACUAAGCUUGUACCAAUUAGGAGAAAGGCAAAGACAUCUGUUUCGUCUAUUAAAGUAGAUGCAGAACAGAAAGUAGAUGCAGAACAGCAAAAGAUGAAAAGUUCAGAACAUGGCUUGGAAACAGUGGCUCUUGAGCAAGCUAAGCCUUCACCCCCCUCAAGGAGGUCAAAAUCGACCAAAACGUCAGAGCCAAUCAAAACCAAAACUAUCAACAAAGAAGUAAUCACUGUUACAACUAAACAAGACCCUGCAAGUCAGAAGUCAUUGAUUAAUCCAGAGUCAGUCAUCAGGCCAUCAAUAACUGCUGCUGUAGAAGAAACAAAAAUAGAGAAAACUGGUAACAAAGAUGAUCUAGAAGUUUCUAGAGCUUCAGAGCUAAUAUCACCUGUGACUGGACCUGUUGAUGUGGAGACAGGACCAGAAAGUCUUAAGUCUCCUGUCACCCCAGAGUCAAACACAGAAUUGGCAGAAACUGGUGUUGUUUUGGAGGCACCCAUAGUGGUACCUGCCAGGAGGAUGGUAAAGGUUGAUGGAUCUCCUAUGAAACAGGGUGAUGUAAAACCUGCACAGUCAACAGAAGACUCUGAGUCCCCUCAGCCUUCUCCAAUUAGAGAAGAACAAGCUGCUCUGUCUGAUUCACAAAGUACAACCAUCCAUGAAAUGGUAAAGCCAUACUCAAUCAAGAAGGUAGUUGUAGUUCUGGAUAGUCCUGAUGUCCAGACAGUAGACGUUUGCCUAAAGGAAUUAAGCUCUGAGAGAGCUGACAUUGCUGGAUCGAUAGGGGUUGACAUCCCACUGGGACAGGCAUCUAAGGAAUCAGAGCCAUCUGUACUUCCUCAACGUCCUCAAAGUGAAAUAGUUGUGCCCCAGUCCUUAAUUCCUGAAGGACAACCGCAAGAUGUUCCAAAACCUGAGCCCAAAGACCAGACUACAUCCCAUCAGGAACUUGCAAGUGUAACUGCACCUGUGGCUGUGAAGACACAACAAUUUCAGGCAAAACCUGAAAUUCCAAUAAGGAAAAAGUCAUCAGCUACAUCUGCUGAUGUUCAGACCAAAUCUGUCACUAGUACUGGGGAGAAGGCCAAGCUUGUAUCACCAACCGGGAGAACAUUGGAGACAUCAAUUAAACCUGCUGAUACCGAACCAGAAUCCAGCAAGGAUAGUGAUCGUCUUCUGUCCUCAACGAGUUCAAAUCCUGAUAUAAAAAGCUUUGUAAUGAGAACCGACAAUAAAACCACUGACGUCUUCACUGUGGAACCCAAGGAGGUAUCGGAUCUCAUGAAUCUGGAAAGUUGUGUUAGCCGAGAGUCCGUCACAAUGGAAACCGUGACUGCUGUUGUGAAAGAAGCACAGCUUGUACCAACCAGAAGAAAGUCUCAGACUGCGCUUUCAUCUGUGCAACCUACUGAUGUGCAACAGCAACAACAGAAAGAAAGUGAGGGUCCUUUGUCCCCACAAAGUCCCAGAUCUGAAAUUAAAAGGCCUUUUGUGGAGGAAUAUCCCAAACUUGCAAAAACCUCAGAACUAGAAACCAUUUGUAUCGUUGAUGUCAAGCCUGAACAAACUCAAAGAGAGCCCAUCGGUUUGGACUCUUCCACAAAACUCCAGAAGUCUGUCCCAAUACUGCCUAAAAAUGCCGGAGUUCUGGAAGCUAAGCCUGGACCGACCAGAGAAGAGAAGCUGACAUCUGAGCCGGAAAAAGAGGAGGAGCCUGAAAUUCCGAAAUUAUCCAAACCUUUAGAUCCAAGUCCAACUACUGUUGUAAAAGAAACAAAAGCUAUUCUAACUGGCAGCAAGGGUCAAGAUGAUUCCACUGGUGCUGUUGACCAUAAUGCACCUGCAGAAGCCAAGAUAAAAUCUGGUACACAUUCUAGAUCCAACAAUGAGGAACCUUUAUAUCUUCUGUCUUCUCAAACCUUUGAGACAGCAGCUUCAGAGCCAGCUUCAGAUGUUGCUGUAUCUGCUGAUGUUCAAACAAAACACAUACAGGCUGAGUCUGAGGCCACUGCUGUCGAACAGACCAAUGUCGUACCAACUCAGAAAAAGUCAAAGACUUCAGCAUCAUCUAUGAAAGUUGAUCAUACAGAACUAGAGAAAACAGAAAGUUCUAAACCGGGCAUGGAAACAGUUGCUCUUGAGCAGGCUAAGAGAUAUUCAAAGGGUGUUCUCCCUGCCGAGACGUCAGUGGCAUCGAUGAAACUAACUGAUGCAGAGCUUGAACAGAACAUGGAAACAGAGAGCCCUCGGUCCCCACAAAGACCUCUACCUGAAACAAAAACUGCUACGCUGGAGUCAAAAAGUCCAACGGUUUCAAGGGUGUCAGGGUUACAGAAGGCUGGCAACAAAACCACUGAUGCCAAAACUCUACAAACUGAGUCCGUCAUAGACAAGGCCACUGAAGAACCACUGCCUGAGCUAACGAGAGAAAAGUCAGCAACUACAUCUGCUGAUGUUCAGACCAAAUCUGACAUUAGUACUGGGGAAAAGACCAAGCUUGUUACACAGACCAGGAGAACGUCAGACACAUCAAUGAAACCUGCUGAUGCGGCACCUGAAUCCAGCAAGGAUAGUGAAACAGCCAAUAAAACCACUGACGUCUUCACUGUUGAACCAAAGGAGGUAUCGGAUCUCAUGAAUCUGGAAAGUUGUGUUAGCCGAGAGUCCGUCACAAUGGAGACAAUGACUGCAGUUGUGGAAAAAGCACAGUUCGUGCCAACCAGAAGAAUGUCUCAGCCUGCGCUUUCAUCCGUGCAACUUACUGGUGUACAAGAGCAACAACAGAAAGAUAGUGAGGGUCCUUUGUCCCCACAAAGUCCCAGAUCUGACAUUAAAAGACCUUUUGUGGAGGAAUGUCCCAAACUUGCCAAAACUUCAGAACCAGGAACCAUUUGCUUCGGUGAUGUCAAGCCUGAACCAACUCAAAAAGAGCCAAGCAGUUUGGAAUCUUCCAUACAACUCCAUAAAUCCCUCCCAAGAGAGCCUGAAACUGCUGGAGUUCUGGAAGCUAAACCUUUAAAAGAGACACAAUCUUUGCUUACUGAGAGCAAGGGUCCAGGUGAUUCCAAAGCUGCUGCUGAUCAUGUUAAACGCUCAGAAGCUAAGGUAGAAUCUAAAGAUGAAAUGAAUUUUGUCCCAGCUAGUAUCAAGUCAACUCUGGAACUUUCCUCUAUUUUGCUGCCAAUUGAUGCUCAACAAGUACCAACAGAAACUCAAAUUGUCAUAAUGGGACACACCUUACAUGGAUCAACCAAAACCAAGAGCCCAGAACUUGUCACAACUUCUGAAACACUUUCUUCUUCUGGGAAAACCUUUGGACACCUUAAGCCUGGGGAAAUGAUGGACCUUGAAAGACCAGCUGAAAUCUCUAUGAAUCUUGAAGAGACAAACAAGGGCAAGGGGUCAACAGAGCAGUCAGUCUCUUAUUCUGAGGCUCAUGAUCGUCCUGGCACUCCAAAUGUCCAACAAAGUGUAGGGAGCACAAAGGAAGGUGAAACUAUUGUAGAGGUGGAGAUCAGUCCAAUGUCUGAACAGAGUCGUGUACAGAGUAGCAUAGAAAUACAAGUUGUUGAUCCAGUGGCUUCACCUUUUGACCAACAAGACCCGGGGAGUGUGGUGUCAUUGAUCAUUACAGAUUCAGUCACGGGUCCAUCCAUUACUGCUGUUGUGGAAGAAACCCAGGUUGUGCCAACUGGUUCUAGACAGAGUCUAGAAGUUUCUAAGACGUCUGAGUCAUCAAAAUAUGUUACUGGACCUCCUGAUGUGAAGACCUCCAAACCUGACCAGAUGAAGACCCAUCAGUCCCAGAGCACAGAAAAUAAGCCGGGAUCACGAGCAGUACCACUGGGGUCCACACCUCAUGGUGUGAGAGCUUCAGAUGAGGGUUUGAGAUCUGAGGAGAAAGCCCUGGUGGAGGUCCUUCCUACCGGGGAAACCCAGGGUACCCUUUCAGCUGGUCUGGUCUACACCAGUGGCCCGGAUCUGGAGGGACCCGAAGACCAGCCCAUGGAGGAUGUGCUCUCAGAGGUCCACCAGCUUCUCGGGACUGGACCUGAUUGUCUCAUCCUGAAGGUAGGCCUUCGUACCCGGGGGGGGGGGGGGGGGGGGGGAGUAUAGUGGCGAGGGUGUCCAACUUUCAGCCAAAAGGUUCUGGGUUUGAUCCCCGUGUCCACAGACUACCUGUAGGCAUCCUAGAGCAAGAUGCCCCCUAACCUCUACCUGCUCCUUAACGACAUGGAUCUAUAUUUAAUCUAUCUCGCUUUGGAUGAAAUUAGUAAACUACAAUUUGUUAAUGGUAGAGUUGACAAACAUAUAUUCAAAGUUAUCCCCCUGCUACAUCUUAUUGCAGCCUGCUGUCAUCCACCACCCGUCCAUAACCAGUUAAAGUCCACCCACCUCUGGUUCUUGUUUUCCAUCCUGAAGGGAGAGCUUGAGGAGGACCCGGCAUCGGUUCUGGAUACGUCCAUCAGGGACCUGGAGGUUCGUCUCAACAGGCUGGAGACCAGAGUUCUGGCCUGCAGGAACCGACCGACAGACCUCAGCCCAGAAGCUAUGGCCCUGCAAUUGGAAGAGGCCCAGGUAAGAAUCAUCUUAACAGGGCAGACAGCAAAGCAUUAUCUCCAACAUAUCUACGAGCAAAAUUAGAUUUGACUAUUUAGUUAUUCAACAUAUGUUUCAGUCACAUGAAUCAUUGAGCAGGUAGGGGUUAGGGGAGAUGAUCAUUGGGGAUCAAACCCGUAACCUUUCGGUGCUGAGAUGGUUAAGUCCAG